rnacentral:rRNA from 1 species
CCUACGGGUGGCUGCAGUGGGGAAUAUUGGGCAAUGGGCGCAAGCCUGACCCAGCAACGCCGCGUGAAGGAAGAAGGCUCUCGGGUUGUAAACUUCUUUUAUCAGGGACGAAGCAAGUGACGGUACCUGAUGAAUAAGCCACGGCUAACUACGUGCCAGCAGCCGCGGUAAUACGUAGGUGGCAAGCGUUAUCCGGAUUUACUGGGUGGAAAGGGCGGGUAGGCGGGAAAGCAAGUCAGAUGUGAAAACCAUGGGCUCAACCUGUGGACUGCAUUUGAAACUGUUUUUCUUGAGUACUGGAGAGGCAGACGGAAUGCCUGGUGUAGCGGUGAAAUGCGUAGAUAUUAGGAGGAACACCAGUGGCGAAGGCGGUCUGCUGGACAGCAACUGACGCUGAGGCGCGAAAGCGUGGGGAGCAAACAGGAUUAGAUACCCUGGUAGUC